rnacentral:rRNA from 1 species
GACGAACGCUGGCGGCGUGCUUAACACAUGCAAGUCGAACGGAAAGGCCCUGCUUUUGUGGGGUGCUCGAUUGGCGAACGGGUGAGUAACACGUGAGUAACCUGCCCUUGACUUUGGGAUAACUUCAGGAAACUGGGGCUAAUACCGUAUAGGAGCUCCUGCUGCAGGGUGGGGGUUGGAAAGUUUCGGCGGUUGGGGAUGGAUUCGCGGCUUAUCAGCUUGUUGGUGGGGUAGUGGCUUACCAAGGCUUUGACGGGUAGCCGGCCUGAGAGGGUGACCGGCGACGUUGGGACUGCGAUACGGCCCAGACUCCUACGGGAGGCAACGGUGGCGAAUAUUGCACAAUGGGAGGAAGCCUGAUGCAGCAACGCCGCGUGCGGGAUGACGGCCUCCGGGUUGUAAACCGCUUUCGCCUGUGACGAAGCGUGAGUGACGGUAAUGGGUAAAGAAGCACCGGCUAACUACGUG